rnacentral:rRNA from 1 species
UACGGAGGGUGCAAGCGUUAUCCGGAUUUAUUGGGUUUAAAGGGUCCGUAGGCGGACUAUUAAGUCAGCGGUGAAAGCCCUCUGCUCAACAGAGGAACUGCCGUUGAUACUGAUAGUCUUGAGUACAAGUGAGGUCGGCGGAAUGUGUGGUGUAGCGGUGAAAUGCUUAGAGAUUGGAAAGAACACCGAUGGCGAAGGCACUUUACUGGGCUAUUACUAACACUCAGAGACGAAAGCUAGGGUAGCAAAUGGG